rnacentral:rRNA from 1 species
AGACCCGAAACCCGGUGAUCUAGCCAUGGGCAGGUUGAAGGUUGGGUAACACUAACUGGAGGACCGAACCGACUAAUGUUGAAAAAUUAGCGGAUGACCUGUGGCUGGGGGUGAAAGGCCAAUCAAACCGGGAGAUAGCUGGUUCUCCCCGAAAGCUAUUUAGGUAGCGCCUCGUGAAUUCAUCUCCGGGGGUAGAGCACUGUUUCGGCUAGGGGGCCAUCCCGGCUUACCAACCCGAUGCAAACUGCGAAUACCGGAGAAUGUUAUCACGGGAGACACACGGCGGGUGCUAACGUCCGUCGUGAAGAGGGAAACAACCCAGACCGCCAGCUAAGGUCCCAAAGUCAUGGUUAAGUGGGAAACGAUGUGGGAAGGCCCAGACAGCCAGGAUGUUGGCUUAGAAGCAGCCAUCAUUUAAAGAAAGCGUAAUAGCUCACUGGUCGAGUCGGCCUGCGCGGAAGAUGUAACGGGGCUAAACCAUGCACCGAAGCUGCGGCAGCGAACGUAUCACUUAAAGCGAUUCAGCGGGUUACGAUUGACGGAGCGAAGCGACGUCAAAGCGUAUACAAAGUCGAGUCGGUUUAAGGAUACGUUCGUUGGGUAGGGGAGCGUUCUGUAAGCCUGCGAAGGUGGCCUGUGAGGGUUGCUGGAGGUAUCAGAAGUGCGAAUGCUGACAUAAGUAACGAUAAAGCGGGUGAAAAGCCCGCUCGCCGGAAGACCAAGGGUUCCUGUCCAACGUUAAUCGGGGCAGGGUGAGUCGACCCCUAAGGCGAGGCCGAAAGGCGUAGUCGAUGGGAAACAGGUUAAUAUUCCUGUACUUGGUGUUACUGCGAAGGGGGGACGGAGAAGGCUAUGUUGGCCGGGCGACGGUUGUCCCGGUUUAAGCGUGUAGGUGUGUGUUCCAGGUAAAUCCGGUUCACUUUAACACUGAGGCGUGAUGACGAGGCACUACGGUGCUGAAGCAACAAAUGCCCUGCUUCCAGGAAAAGCCUCUAAGCAUCAGGUAACAUCAAAUCGUACCCCAAACCGACACAGGUGGUCAGGUAGAGAAUACCAAGGCGCUUGAGAGAACUCGGGUGAAGGAACUAGGCAAAAUGGUGCCGUAACUUCGGGAGAAGGCACGCUGACACGUAGGUGAAGUGAUUUACUCACGGAGCUGAAGUCAGUCGAAGAUACCAGCUGGCUGCAACUGUUUAUUAAAAACACAGCACUGUGCAAACACGAAAGUGGACGUAUACGGUGUGACGCCUGCCCGGUGCCGGAAGGUUAAUUGAUGGGGUCAGCGCAAGCGAAGCUCCUGAUCGAAGCCCCGGUAAACGGCGGCCGUAACUAUAACGGUCCUAAGGUAGCGAAAUUCCUUGUCGGGUAAGUUCCGACCUGCACGAAUGGCGUAAUGAUGGCCAGGCUGUCUCCACCCGAGACUCAGUGAAAUUGAACUCGCUGUGAAGAUGCAGUGUACCCGCGGCAAGACGGAAAGACCCCGUGAACCUUUACUAUAGCUUGACACUGAACAUUGAGCCUUGAUGUGUAG